AACGAACGCUGGCGGCAUGCCUAACACAUGCAAGUCGAACGAUUGCCUUCGGGUGAUAGUGGCGCACGGGUGCGUAACGCGUGGGAAUCUGCCCUUAGGAUCGGAAUAACAGCUGGAAACGGCUGCUAAUACCGGAUGAUAUCGCGAGAUCAAAGAUUUAUCGCCUGAGGAUGAGCCCGCGUUGGAUUAGGUAGUUGGUGGGGUAAAGGCCUACCAAGCCGACGAUCCAUAGCUGGUCUGAGAGGAUGAUCAGCCACACUGGGACUGAGACACGGCCCAGACUCCUACGGGAGGCAGCAGUGGGGAAUAUUGGACAAUGGGCGCAAGCCUGAUCCAGCAAUGCCGCGUGAGUGAUGAAGGCCCUAGGGUUGUAAAGCUCUUUUACCCGGGAAGAUAAUGACUGUACCGGGAGAAUAAGCCCCGGCUAACUCCGUG
rnacentral:rRNA from 1 species